rnacentral:rRNA from 1 species
UACAGAGGGUGCGAGCGUUAAUCGGAAUUACUGGGCGUAAAGCGUGCGUAGACGGUUAUUUAAGUCGGGUGUGAAAGCCCCGGGCUCAACCUGGGAAUUGCAUUCGAGACUGAAUAGCUAGGGUACGGUAGAGGGAAGUGGAAUUUCCGGUGUAGCGGUGAAAUGCGUAGAUAUCGGAAGGAACAUCAGUGGCGAAAGCGACUUCCUGGACCAGUACCGACGUUCAGGCACGAAAGCUAGGGGAGCAAACAGG